GCUGAGCUGGGUCAACACUUACACGGUUCCCAGAAGAAAUCAACGCCGAAGGAUACCUCAGCCGCCGUAUGGUCACUUCAUUACCACCGGUCUGUUUCGACAGGGAGCCUUCGAUUACAGAUUUCGACGACUGAAAAAAUGUUGGAUGGUCGGUGAUAAUAAUUUUGGGUAAAAGUGGCCAUUAACCAUCCUCCCUCUAAAAUGAAUUCAUAAAGUGCGUUAUGAUACAGCAAGGUCUUCCUCUUGAGGAUGGGGAGGGCUUCCUAAUCAUCCGAGUCUCUUACGGCAUAUGAGCCAUGCAGGAGAAGGCCUCAGGUCGCCCUCUCUCUUCUGACUCAGAGGUUUUUUUUGGCUUGCUCUGAAGCCAAUCCUUUGACUGUACAAAAUAUCUGCCUUUUGUAAUUUGUCACCUGGUGAGAAUAAUAAAAUGGUGAUUGUCAGACCAGCUUCCUCUGUGGUAUUUACUUUGUAUCUCCAUAAAUGGCUUUGAAGGACAGUUACGUCUAUUCAUUUGUGCUCUGUAGAAAAAC